rnacentral:rRNA from 1 species
CAUUCACGGAGAGUUUGAUCCUGGCUCAGGACGAACGCUGGCGGCGUGCUUAACACAUGCAAGUCGAACGAUGAAGCCUUUCGGGGUGGAUUAGUGGCGAACGGGUGAGUAACACGUGGGCAAUCUGCCCUUCACUCUGGGACAAGCCCUGGAAACGGGGUCUAAUACCGGAUAACACUCUGUCCUGCAUGGGACGGGGUUAAAAGCUCCGGCGGUGAAGGAUGAGC